rnacentral:rRNA from 1 species
GUAAGGAAUAUUGGACAAUGGACGCAAGUCUGAUCCAGCCAUGCCGCGUGAAGGAUUAAGGUCCUCUGGAUUGUAAACUUCUUUUAUAAGGGACGAAAAAAGGCUUUUCUAAGUCGUCUGACGGUACCUUAUGAAUAAGCACCGGCUAACUCCGUGCCAGCAGCCGCGGUAAUACGGAGGGUGCAAGCGUUAUCCGGAUUCACUGGGUUUAAAGGGUGCGUAGUCGGGAAGGUAAGUCAGUGGUGAAAUCCUAGAGCUUAACUCUAGAACUGCCAUUGAUACUAUCUGUCUUGAAUAUUGUGGAGGUAAGCGGAAUAUGUCAUGUAGCGGUGAAAUGCUUAGAUAUGACAUAGAACACCUAUUGCGAAGGCAGCUUACUACGCAUAUAUUGACGCUGAGGCACGAAAGCGUGGGGAUCAAACAGGAUUAGAUACCCGAGUAGUCC